rnacentral:rRNA from 1 species
AGCGAACGCUGGCGGCAGGCCUAACACAUGCAAGUCGAACGAUCCUUCGGGAUAGUGGCGGACGGGUGAGUAACACGUGGGAACGUGCCCUUGGUUCGGAACAACUCAGGGAAACUUGAGCUAAUACCGAAUGUGCCCUUCGGGGGAAAGAUUUAUCACCAUUGGAGCGGCCCGCGUCUGAUUAGCUAGUUGGUGAGGUAAUGGCUCACCAAGGCGACGAUCAGUAGCUGGUCUGAGAGGAUGAUCAGCCACACUGGGACUGAGACACGGCCCAGACUCCUACGGGAGGCAGCAGUGGGGAAUCUUGCGCAAUGGGCGAAAGCCUGACGCAGCCAUGCCGCGUGAAUGAUGAAGGUCUUAGGAUUGUAAAAUUCUUUCACCGGGGACGAUAAUGACGGUACCCGGAGAAGAAGCUCCGGCUAACUUCGUGCCAGCAGCCGCCGUAAUAC